AACCGGAUCACCCUCAGUCCCCUGAGGACCGGGUCAUGAUCACAUGACUGUGAAUCCUCUGAGUGAGGGUCUCAUUUAAAGAGUCUAACCCUCUAAAAUCUCUCAGAUCCAGUUUACACAACAGCAGACCAGAUCCAGAUCCAGAUCUGCUCUGAGAACCAGGAGAACCAGCAGACUUCACUGAGUCAGCAGGGGGGGCAUUUCAGAGACACUGCAGGGUACCCCCCUCAGACCGGACAGAUGAUCCCGCUGCACCAACAAGACCACCAGAAGAGGAGAAAACAGGAACCAGGGAGGGGUUUUCAAAAUAAAAGCCUAACAAGUGUGCAGCUCUGAGAAAUGAUAAGAAUGACUUUUAUUUUGGUGAAACAUGAAAUUAUGAUGACGAAGCAGCAGUCUGAGACCUGUCCUCUCUGACUUAUUUAGACCCCAGAUAUUGAUGAGGAGGACCUGCUCUGACAGGAACUGACGUUAGACCAUGAAAACCUCUUUUCCUUUGAAUCUGAUUUAAAAACUGCAGAAAAACAGGAUUUUAUUUUGAAAGGUCAAGAGGAAGCAGCAGGUGUGACUGUCUGCAGACUCGACUCUUCAGCUCCGCGGUAUCAUACAGAACCACAGAACUACAGCCCGAUCCCUGCAGGUCCAGCAGCUCAAAAACAAAGACCAGACUAAAAACCGGACCCGGUUCAGAUUUGGACCAGGACUGGUUCCGGUCCGUGUUUCUGCUCCUCCAGCAGGAACCUCUCUGUGAUCAUUAGGAACUUCAUUUUACUGCAUUAAGAAAAACAACAAAAACAUG